UACGGAGGGGACUAGCGUUGUUCGGAAUUACUGGGCGUAAAGCGCACGUAGGCGGAUUUGUAAGUCAGGGGUGAAAUCCCGGGGCUCAACCUCGGAACUGCCUUUGAUACUGCAAAUCUCGAGUCCGGAAGAGGUGAGUGGAAUUCCUAGUGUAGAGGUGAAAUUCGUAGAUAUUGGGAAGAACACCAGUGGCGAAGGCGGCUCUCUGGACCGAGACUGACGCUGAGGCGCGAAAGCGUGGGGAGCAAACAGG
rnacentral:rRNA from 1 species